GCCGUGGUUCAGUGGCAAAGCAGCUGCUUGGUUUGCUGAAGGUCCCGGGUUCAGUUCCCAGCAUCUGCA
rnacentral:tRNA from 1 species